AAACAUGUUGAAUUCACAUUGUCAGCGGCCCCUUUGUUUUUUAUGCGUGUGAGAGACAAACAAAACAUGAGUGAAAUGUUCAACUAAUCCAAAGAAGAUUCCAGAGAAAACAUCUGUCGACGUUCAAGGCUUAAAAAGAGGUUUAUCUGCUAAACGUUGUGCGUGUGUUUUGCUUUGAAUCAAAUCGCGUCACAAUUCAUUAGACGGCGAAUCAAACGAAGCUUGUGCAGUGAAGCGCGAGCUCACUCACCGGCUCGUUCCGGAGUCCUGGGAAUCCGGAGUUAUAAAAAUAUCACAUAUUGGUCUCUCGCUCUUCUGUGGAAAGUCGCGAGCGCACAUUCACGUGGCGGUGUGCUCUAGUUACCACAGCAACCGGGCCGAGGCAGUUUAUUGUAUAUUCCGCGCACAGUUCCCGACUCCUCCGUCCUCAACAAGUCAAAGACACUUUUCCCCCGUUUAAUUCUGUACUAAAACCACGAAAAGAGUUAUUUUCGCCAUUGGACGCAUCUGGAAUCUCAUAGACGAGCGUCAAUCCAAAAACACCAGCCUCCUCAAUGUAAACAACAACGAUGACGAUGCCACAAAGUGGUUCAGCUGGAGGAGUGUGUAUGCUGUCAGAAGUUGAAACGGAUGUGUAGAGUCACUGAGAUCGAGUCGCAAGCGGGGUUCUGAGGCGUGAACUGCCGGUCACACUGGCUGAUGAAGGCAAUUAGAGGUUUGCCAAAUGUGUCACGUUGCUCUGACAAGGCUGACCUAUCUGGAAGACUCAUAAUUGGGAUGUCAAGUGGAGGUAAAAUAAGCUCAACAGUUAAGGAAAGUUCUACUGAACUUCUAUACUUCUACAUUUAGAUUGAAGUAUCAAAUGUCUGAGAAGAAUAUGUGGCCUUUUAGGAGUGUUUAAUUUCUAAAAGUCCACAGGGCCUUAUUUUUUUAUUUUUUCAACUAGCCUACUAGAAUAGAAUAACCUUUUGUAGUUCCCCAAAGAACCUUUCAGUGAACAUCCUUUUUUUUUUCUCUCAGUUUGAAGAACACUUUUAAAAAUCUAAUGAACCUUUGUCCACUAUAAAGAACCUUUUGUUGAUGUUUUAGGUUCUCCAUGGAACCAAAUAUGCAAAUAAAGAACCUUUAUUUUAAGUGUACAUUGAAUAUUAUUUUCACAUUUUUUCCAUCAUUUUACAAAAUUAGACAUCAGCUUGAUUGGAAAUUAUGGAUA
ensembl:lncRNA